rnacentral:rRNA from 1 species
GACGAACGCUGGCGGCGUGCCUAAUACAUGCAAGUCGAGCGGAGUUGAAGAGAAGCUUGCUUCUCUGAUACUUAGCGGCGGACGGGUGAGUAACACGUAGGUAACCUGCCUAUAAGACUGGGAUAACAUUCGGAAACGAAUGCUAAUACCGGAUACGCAUUUUGAUCGCAUGAUCGAAAUGGGAAAGACGGAGCAAUCUGUCACUUAUAGAUGGACCUGCGGCGCAUUAGCUAGUUGGUGAGGUAAUGGCUCACCAAGGCGACGAUGCGUAGCCGACCUGAGAGGGUGAUCGGCCACACUGGGACUGAGACACGGCCCAGACUCCUACGGGAGGCAGCAGUAGGGAAUCUUCCGCAAUGGACGAAAGUCUGACGGAGCAACGCCGCGUGAGUGAUGAAGGUUUUCGGAUCGUAAAGCUCUGUUGCCAGGGAAGAACGCUAUGGAGAGUAACUGCUCCAUAGGUGACGGUACCUGAGAAGAAAGCCCCGGCUAACUACGUGCCAGCCGCCGCCGUAACAC